rnacentral:rRNA from 1 species
GAUGAACGCUGGCGGCGUGCUUAACACAUGCAAGUCGAACGAAGCAUUUAGAACAGAUUACUUCGGUUUGAAGUUCUUUAUGACUGAGUGGCGGACGGGUGAGUAACGCGUGGGUAACCUGCCUUGUACUGGGGGAUAGCAGCUGGAAACGGCUGGCAAUACCGCAUAAGCGCACAAUGUUGCAUGACAUGGUGUGAAAAACUCCGGUGGUAUAAGAUGGACCCGCGUCUGAUUAGCUAGUUGGUGAGAUAACAGCCCACCAAGGCGACGAUCAGUAGCCGACCUGAGAGGGUGACCGGCCACAUUGGGACUGAGACACGGCCCAGACUCCUACGGGAAGCAGCAGUGGGGAAUAUUGCACAAUGGAGGAAACUCUGAUGCAGCGACGCCGCGUGAGUGAAGAAGUAAUUCGUUAUGUAAAGCUCUAUCAGCAGGGAAGAUAGUGACGGUACCUGACUAAGAAGCUCCGGCUAAAUACGUG